rnacentral:rRNA from 1 species
UUCGGGGUGNCAGGCGAUACGGGCAUAACUAGAGUGCUGUAGGGGAGACUGGAAUUCCUGGUGUAGCGGUGGAAUGCGCAGAUAUCAGGAGGANCACCGAUGGCGAAGGCAGGUCUCUGGGCAGUAACUGACGCUGAGGAGCGAAAGCAUGGGGAGCGAACAGGAUUAGAUACCCUGGUAGUCCAUGCUGUAAACGGUGGGCGUUAGGUGUGGGGACCGGUUUGGUUUCUGUGCCGUAGCUAACGCAUUAAGCGCCCCGCCUGGGGAGUACGGCCGCAAGGCUAAAACUCAAAGGAAUUGACGGGGGCCCGCACAAGCGGCGGAGCAUGUGGAUUAAUUCGAUGCAACGCGAGGAACCUUACCUGGGUUUGACAUGCACCAGACGGUUGUAGAGAUACGUACCUCCCUUUGUGGUUGGUGUGCAGGUGGUGCAUGGUUGUCGUCAGCUCGUGUCGUGAGAUGUUGGGUUAAGUCCCGCAACGAGCGCAACCCUUGUCUUAUGUUGCCAGUACUUUGGGUGGGGACUCAUGAGAGACUGCCGGGGUUAACUCGGAGGAAGGUGGGGAUGACGUCAAAUCAUCAUGCCCUUUAUGCCCAGGGCUUCACACAUGCUACAAUGGUUAGUACAACGCGCUGCGAACCUGUGAGGGUGAGCGAAUCGCUGAAAGCUAAUCUCAGUUCGGAUUGGGGUCUGCAACUCGACCCCAUGAAGUCGGAGUCGCUAGUAAUCGCAGAUCAGCAAUGCUGCGGUGAAUACGUUCCCGGGCCUUGUACACACCGCCCGUCACGUCAUGAAAGUUGGUAACACCCGAAGCCCAUGGCCUAA